AAUUGUAGGCAGUUCGUGUGUGGAUCUCGUCACCAUAUCGUCGCAAACAGGUAAUCCCCAACCAUAGUGGGCUUGGAGCUGUGAGGGAAUUCGAAGUGGCCACCCGUUCUGAAAGUUUGAUUUUCUUCUGGUGAACUGGACAUCCUUUUAUUUACGUUUGAAGUUUUGGGUUUUUAAAUUUAAUAAGGCCGCUUAAUUAUUUUUUAUGGUUUUAAUAUGUAUUACUAAGAUAGGUAUUACUUAUUUUAACUGUUGAAAUUGGAUAGCUUUAGGGUGUGUUUUCAAAAACAACAA